CUGUACAUGUCGUGCUUCAAUA
rnacentral:miRNA from 1 species